AGAUUGAACGCUGGCGGCAGGCCUAACACAUGCAAGUCGAGCGGUAGAGAGGUGCUUGCACCUCUUGAGAGCGGCGGACGGGUGAGUAAUGCCUAGGAAUCUGCCUAGUGGUGGGGGAUAACGUUCGGAAACGGACGCUAAUACCGCAUACGCCCUACGGGGGAAAGGGGGGAUCGCAAGACCUCUCACUAUUGGAGCGGCCGAUAUCAGAUUAGCUAGUUGGUGAGGUAAAGGCUCACCAAGGCGACGAUCUGUAGCUGGUUUGAGAGGACGACCAGCCACACUGGGACUGAGACACGGCCCAGACUCUACGGGAGCAGCAGUGGGAAUUUGGACAGUGGGGAAACCUGAUCCAGCCAUCCCGCGUGUGCGA
rnacentral:rRNA from 1 species